rnacentral:sRNA from 1 species
AAGUUUAAGCGGCCUUCUCAGCAGAGUGUUGGUUACCAACGUAACGCAAGCACGAUCCAGUGCUUGUAUUCGCGGUUAAAUCUUCGGUGGUGGCAAUCGUGAAGUGGUCUGAGCAAGGACCGCGCAAUGAAACGGUACUUUUGUAUUGUGCUCAUUGUUUCUGGUGCACUGUUGGCUCAUUGUGAGGGGGGAGUAUCUCCAACAACCCAAUUUCUGUGACCAUUAACGCAGCAGGCGAGUAAGCCAGGUAGCCGUCCUUCGGGGCGGCUUUCCUC